GUGCUCGCUUUGGCAGUACAGUUACUAAAAUUGGAAUCAUACAGAGAAGAUUAUCAUGACCCCUGUACGAGGAUGACACACAAAUUUGUGAAGUGUUUUAUACUUUU
ensembl:snRNA U6 U6 spliceosomal RNA